CCCGCUGAACUUAAGCAUAUCAGUGAGCGGAGGAAAAGAAACCUACAGGGAUUACCUUAGUGACGCCGAGUGAAGCGGCAAGAGCUCAAUUUUGAAAUCUGGCUUCCUUUUUGGGGCUCUAGUUGUAAUUUGCAGAGGAUGCUUUGGGUGUGGUCGCGGUCUAAGUCCCGUGGAACGGGGCAUCGUAGAGGGUGAGAAUGCCGUCUGGGACCGCAGGCCCCGCUCGUGUAAAGCUCCUUUGACGAGUCGAGUUGUUUGGGAAUGCAGCUCUAAAUGGGUGGUAAAUUUCAUCUAAAGGUAAAUAUUGGCCGGAGACCGAUAGCUCAUGAGUAGAGUGAUCGAAAGAUGAAAAGCACUUUGAAAAGAGAGUUAAACAGUACGUGAAACUGUUAAGAGGGAAACGCUUGACGUCCGUCGCGUUGCUCUGGAUUCAGCCUUGCUUCCGCUUGGUGUACUUCCUGCUCAACCGGUCACCGUCAAUUCUGGCCACUGGAUAAAGGCCCAGAGAAUGUGGCAUCCUUGGAUGCGCUAUAGCUUUAGAUCGUAUACAUUGGAUGCUACUGAGGCACUCAGCACGCCAAAAGGCCGAGUGUCCACCAUGCACGGGCUUACGAUGCUGGUAUAAUGGCUUUAAUCGUCCCAUCUCGAUUCACACGAA
rnacentral:rRNA from 1 species